UACGGAGGUCCCGAGCGUUGUUCGGAUUUAUUGGGCGUAAAGCGUGCGUAGGCGGUUGGGCAAGUCAGGUGUGAAAUCCCGGAGCUCAACUCCGGAAGUGCACUUGAUACUGCUUUACUAGAGUACUGGAGAGGAGACUGGAAUUUACGGUGUAGCAGUGAAAUGCGUAGAUAUCGGAAGGAAGACCAGUGGCGAAGGCGAGUCUCUGGACAGUUACUGACGCUGAGGCACGAAGGCCAGGGGAGCAAACAGG
rnacentral:rRNA from 1 species